UGGGGAAUAUUGGACAAUGGGCGCAAGCCUGAUCCAGCCAUGCCGCGUGUGUGAAGAAGGCCUUAGGGUUGUAAAGCACUUUCAGUGGGGAGAAAGGUCAUUCACCUAAUACGUGAG
rnacentral:rRNA from 1 species